UCCACGCCAUGCAUGCGCGUGCUAGUCAUUUCACGUCCUAGUACAAUGAGACAUUUAUGAUAACGCUGCUACGGACACAUUGUAGAAUGCAGCUUUAAACGGCUUCACGUUUAUGGCUUUGAAGCAGGGGGUAUCUGUGCCAUCUCUGAUGUCCUGAAAAUCUGUCAGGUUCUCAUGAAUGAAUAAAACAGGCCGGUAAUUGGAGAGCGUGACCACAACGCUGCAUGUAUAUUUUAGUCAUGACAUUAGGACAGACAGGACCUUUAGGUAGAAGAGUGUGGCAAGCCGCUUGUUUCUUAACAAGUCAUCCUUCUGGGCUCAAUCAUUGAACGUUCAAAAUAAUGCUCGCUGUUUCAGUAAUGUCAAGGACUUAGACCAUGUCCAGGGUGGUGCCAUUUGAUUUUGAAAUGGAAUGAAAAGGAGUCUAUAAGUGAUAGAAUUACAGUGUGUUUAACGGUGUAUGCUUUUGUGUAACAAAAUGACACUUGUUCUGAUAAAAAAAAAUAAAAAAAUAAUAAUCUAUCCGCAGCAAACUUCAGAUAACUCCAAUAAACGGUUUUAAAGUUGUGUUUUGCUAUUGUGUAGACUGUAAGUCUAACACAGCCUCAUUCUGGAAAUAUGGUAAAUUGAUCGUGGUGUCUCUCCUGAGGUCUAUGCCAUGGCUAAUGUUAACAAAUCGCUAUGUUUUUGGCCAUUUACUUGUGGAAUGUGGUUCAAACUGGAGAACUGGAGUGGAUGCUGGUAACUAGCAACAAAAUAUGUACUUAUACCUUAUUAAUAGUAAAUCUGAAUACCGGUUUGUUACUAGUGGAAACCUUGACUUUAUAUGGAAAAAGGGCUUGCAGAAGACUACUGGGAUAAGUAUCUAACGAAUAGUUACUAGUGAAAUGGGGAAAAAAUGACGUUUGCUAUUGCAUUGCUUACUAAUUGAUGAAAAAUAAUGAGUUCUACCUGGUUAAUUUUGAAUGUUGAAAUGGCUUGCCAUAAUAGUUAUUUCAGGGGGGAGGUGGUUGAAGCUGAUAGAUGGGGGAAGGGUGCUUUACAGCUUCUGAACCGGACAUUAUAUUAUACGGGUCGGGCCUAAUAGUAAAGUGGGGGAUGGAUCUUCAAAGCUCAACCUGUUGAAGAGGUCAGAAGGUCAGGAUAAGUAUAUGCUCCAGGAUCUGCCCGUCGAACUUCUCCGCGUGGUGCUCGCUGCCUCCAGCUGAUAAGGAAUGAUCACAGACUUAUGCUGCAGAAUAUGGGACAGGGCUGAUAACAGACUGGGCGUCUGCGUGGGGGUUUGAUGCACAUGCCUCCAGCUCUACCAUAGAUUACAGCAAAGGCCUGUCUCAGAAUGCUUUUCUGGGUUUGAUGCAUCAAUCGAUCAAAAUGUUUAACAGAUCAGAUAAGGCCUUGUUAUAUUGCUUUUCUCUAUUGAUCAUGACAUUUGUUCUGUAGCAUUAAUGUUUAAAAAAAAAACUUAUUUUUAUAUUUUUUGGAAACAAAAAGUGUCUAGUGAAGCUUCACAUGGCAUCGUGAACAACUUCCAGUUUCCCUUGUUCAGUUUUUCACACCAGUUGUGCUAGUCAUAUCUCCUUCUGUGAAAAGUUUCACUCUUGUUCUGUCUCUUUUUCAGUUUGACAUUAAUGGCACACCUAAAGUUCGCGUUUUACUUUGCAGACCUUUGAACCAUUACUCCUAAAAACGUAACUUGUGAAUUACAUUUAAUUCUGCAGAAACCA